rnacentral:rRNA from 1 species
UACGGGGGGGGCAAGCGGUGUUCGGAAUUACUGGGCGUAAAGGGCUCGUAGGCGGCCAACUAAGUCAGACGUGAAAUCCCUCGGCUUAACCGGGGAACUGCGUCUGAUACUGGAUGGCUUGAGUUUGGGAGAGGGAUGCGGAAUUCCAGGUGUAGCGGUGAAAUGCGUAGAUAUCUGGAGGAACACCGGUGGCGAAGGCGGCAUCCUGGACCAACACUGACGCUGAGGAGCGAAAGCCAGGGGAGCAAACGGG